rnacentral:rRNA from 1 species
GCCUGCCCAGUGACAGUGUUAAACGGCCGCGGUAUUUUGACCGUGCAAAGGUAGCACAAUAAAUUGUCUUUUAAUUGAAGAAUGGUAUGAAUGGCAUCACGAGGGCUUAACUGUCUCCCCUCUAAAGUCAGUGAAAUUGAUCUCCCCGUGCAGAAGCGGGGAUGCACCCGUAAGACGAGAAGACCCUGUGGAGCUUUAGACAUAAGCCAGCCCACGUCAAAAAGACCCUAAAAGGAUGUGAACAAAAUGGCCCCUGGGGGUAUGUCUUCGGUUGGGGCGACCACGGAGAAAAACAAAACCUCCAUAUGGACUGGGGCCACUGAGCCCUAAAACACAGACCCACAGGUCGAAUCACCAGUACAUCUGACCACUAAGAUCCGGCACGCGCCGAUUAAUGGACCAAGUUACCCCAGGGAUAACAGCGCAAUCCUCUCAAAGAGACCAUAUCGACGAGGGGGUUUACGACCUCGAUGUUGGAUCAGGACAUCCUAAUGGUGCAGCCGCUAUUAAGGGUUCGUUUGUUCAACGAUUAACAGUCCUACGUGAUCU